GUAAAACUCGAUUGUACAUUUGUUCAACUCUGAGAUAGGAGAAAAGCUGCCCUGUGGCGGGAGGCGAGACAUGUUUACAGUAAUACUGCCUUGUUAUUCUUUACUCCCCUGAGAUGUUUGGGUGGAGAGAAACAUAAAUCUGGCCUAAGUGCACGUCCAGGCAUAGUACUUUCCCUUGAACUUAAUCAUGAUAUAGAUUCUUUUGCUCACAUGUAAUUUGUUGACCUUCUCCUUAUUAUCACCCUGCUCUCCUACUACAUUCCUUUUUGCUGAAAUAAUGAAAAUAAUAAUCAAUAAAAACUAAGGGAACUCAGAGGCCGGUGCCGG
rnacentral:lncRNA from 1 species